rnacentral:rRNA from 1 species
GUCUAUGGCCAUGCUACCCUGAAUGUGCCCGAAUCUGUCUGAUCUUGGAAGCUAAGCAGGGUCGGGCCUGGUUAGUACGGGAACGGGAAAGUGGCCUAGGAAGACCAGGUGCUGUAGGUG